AAGUCGUAACAAGGUUUCCGUAGGUGAACCUGCGGAAGGAUCAUUAAAAAUGAACCUCUAGAGGGGUUGUGCGAUCCGGUUAAAGAACCACGUCGCAUCACGAUAUGUACAGUGGCAGGCUUCGAUCAUCUCGACCAUAUGUGCGGCGCACAUGAUGCGUCCGUCUUAUGGCGGCCUGCCCCUUCUCAAACGGUUCAAACCAUUCUAGCAGCCUGAACUUUUUUGCGAACACGCAACACAAUCGAAAUACAACUUUCAGCAACGGAUCUCUUGGUUCCU
rnacentral:misc_RNA from 1 species